CUGUCUCCUCCCUCCAAUCAGUGAAACUGAUCUCCCCGUGAAGAAGCGGGGAUAAAAUAAUAAGACGAGAAGACCCCAUGGAGCUUUAAACCUCACAGCAAUUAUGACACAUAAUUCAUUAUAACUAACAGAACUAUGCAAGCCGGUUUUAGGUUGGGGCGACCGCGGAGUAAAAAUUAACCUCCACGACGAAAAGAACUAAACCUUUAUCUGAGAGCCACUUCUCUAAGAAUUAGUAAACUAACGAAAAAUGACCCGAUUAUCGAUCAACGGACCAAGUUACCCUGGGGAUAACAGCGCAAUCUACUUCAAGAGCCCAUAUCGACAAGUAGGCUUACGACCUCGAUGUUGGAUCAGGGUAUCCCAGUGGUGCAGCCGCUACUAAAGGUUCGUUUGUUCAACGAUUAAAACCCUACGUGAUCUG
rnacentral:rRNA from 1 species